rnacentral:rRNA from 1 species
GUGGGGAAUAUUGGACAAUGGGGGGAACCCUGAUCCAGCCAUGCCGCGUGUGUGAAGAAGGCCUUUUGGUUGUAAAGCACUUUAAGCGAGGAGGAGGCUACCGAGAUUAAUACUCUUGGAUAGUGGUCGUUACUCGCAGAAUAAGCACCGGCUAACUCUGUGCCAGCAGCCGCGGUAAUACAGAGGGUGCAAGCGUUAAUCGGAUUUACUGGGCGUAAAGCGCGCGUAGGUGGCCAAUUAAGUCAAAUGUGAAAUCCCCGAGCUUAACUUGGGAAUUGCCAUCGAUACUGGUUGGCUCGAGUAUGGGAGAGGAUGGUAGAAUUCCAGGUGUAGCGGUGAAAUGCGUAGAGAUCUGGAGGAAUACCGAUGGCGAAGGCAGCCAUCUGGCCUAAUACUGACACUGAGGAGCGAAAGCAUGGGGAGCAAACAGGAUUAGAAACCCGUGUAGUCC